rnacentral:rRNA from 1 species
GGGACAACCGCUGGAAACGGCGGCUAAUACCGGGUACUCCGGGAGGGCCCCAUGGCCCUGCCGGGAAAGCCGAGACGGCGCGGGAUGGGGUCGCGGCCCAUUAGGUAGACGGCGGGGUAACGGCCCACCGUGCCCGCGAUGGGUAGCCGGACUGAGAGGUCGACCGGCCACAUUGGGACUGAGAUACGGCCCAGACUCCUACGGGAGGCAGCAGUGGGGAAUUUUGCGCAAUGGGGGAAACCCUGACGCAGCAACGCCGCGUGCGGGACGAAGGCCCUCGGGUUGUAAACCGCUUUCAGCAGGGAAGACUUUACGACGGUACCUGCAGAAGAAGCUCCGGCUAACUACGUGCCAGCAGCCGCGGUAAUACGUAGGGGGCGAGCGUUAUCCGGAUUCAUUGGGCGUAAAGCGCGCGUAGGCGGCCGCCUAAGCGGGACCUCUAACCCCGGGGCUCAACCCCGGGCCGGGUCCCGGACUGGGCGGCUCGAGUGCGGUAGAGGAGAGCGGAAUUCCCGGUGUAGCGGUGGAAUGCGCAGAUAUCGGGAAGAACACCGAUGGCGAAGGCAGCUCUCUGGGCCGUCACUGACGCUGAGGCGCGAAAGCUGGGGGAGCGAACAGGAUUAGAUACCCUGGUAGUCCCAGCCGUAAACGAUGGGCGCUAGGUGUGGG